rnacentral:lncRNA from 1 species
CAAUGACCUUCAGCAUCAUCACAAUGACCUACAGUAUCAUACAAUGACCUUCAGUAUCAUCACAGGGACCUUCAGUAUCAUCACAAUGACAUACAGUGUCAUCACAGUGACCUUCAGUGUCAUCACAAUAACAUACAGUAUCAUUAAAAGACUAUUAUGUAAUAAAUUGAGCAGUCUUUGUGUCCUUUAUACCCUUAUUUUAUAGUCUGGGCUGUCACUAGUACCAGCAGAUGACUGAAAAUCAUAACGUGACCCAAUCCCUGUUGUGAAUCUCAAUACUGGCAUGUCCUUAAAUGACCAUAGCUGUAAAUAGGACAAAUACAAACAAACCUAUAGCCUGUCAAAGGUGUUUAUGGAAUGGGAGGUAUUGUAGUAGCGGGAGCAUCACUUUGGUUUCCUUAGGAUCACUUACUUGAAUAUCAAUUGAUUUUGGAGAUACUAAAGGUAAGCAUGUUAAAUAUACAAUGAGUAUGAUUAGGUUGGAAGUUGAGCGAAAUCUGUGCAUAAUUAUUUACCAUACUGUGCUGUGAUUGGUCAUUUGAUUGGUUGACGGUUUCCGCACAAUUACUUUAUUAAAUGUGAUGUAAUGAAACUUGGUCAACACUCAUAUUAUACAAAGACUUGGCCAAUGAUUAAAUAUAAAGAUAAAUACAUAAGUUAAAGUUAGAGAAAGUCUGCACUGAAUUAAUUAACCUACUGCAUUCUGAUAAGUCAACAAUUUCCUCUCAAUAACUUAGUCACUUCGGGUAGAUUUUGAUGGAACUUUGUCAAUAUUUACACUUUUAACGAUAUCUGCCAGUACUAAAUAAACAUUCUUCAAUUUUAAUGGUUAAAGAUUAAUCAUUGAUUGGAAAAGAGAGUCAAUUUCUUUUUGUUCUUCGCUCAUCUGGUCUUGAAGGACGGGUAAGCUUAUGCGAUACCAUGACAUCCGUCGUCUGUCCAUCAUCAAUUUCUUAAAAACAACUUCUUCUAAACUGCUGAUUGAAAUUGGACCAAAUUUGACUGGAAGCAUCUUUAGGAUGUGGGGAUUUUAGAUUGUACAAAUGGAUGGGUUGACCCCCAGGGUUGGCGGACAUGGCCAAAAAGGGUCAUAUUGCUUUACAUGAUUUCUUAGGAACUAAGAGAAGGAUAUCAACCAUAUUUGAUUGGAAGUAUUCUCAUGGCAGCCCUAAUAAUGACUAUAUAGUAUGGUACUAGGUAGCCAGGUACAAAGGUACCUGUGACAGCCCUAAUAAUGACAUCACUAUAUAGUAUGGUACUGGGUAGACAGGUACACAGGGACCUGUGACAGCCCUAAUAAUGACAUCCCUAUAUAGUAUGGUACUGGGUAGACAGGUACACAUGUACCUGUGACAGGCCUAAUAAUGACAUCACUAUAUAGUAUGGUACUGGGCAGACAGGUACAUGUGACAGCCCUAAUAAUGACAUCACUAUAUAGUAUGGUAUAUUGGACAGCCAAGUAUACAGGUACAUGUGACAGCCCUAAUAAUGAUAUCACUAUAUAGUAUAGUACUGGCUAUGGGUAGACAGGUUUCUGUCUUAGCCAGAUACACUGGUGCUCAUGACAGUUGAACUUUGUAUGAAUUUUGGUAGCUUUUUAGUGAGUACAAGUACUCACCAUGCCCACAGAGUAGUAUUGAACUGGGUUCGGUUCAUGUCUUACGUCCUUUUAACAGCUAAAGUCAUUUAAGGACAUGCAAGGAUUUGAUGGUGGAGGAAAGCCAUAGUGCCUGGAGAAAAACAACCAACCUGCGGCCAGUGGCCCAGUAGUGGAGGGCUACUGAUCGUAGACAGUCAGAAACCUUAACCACUCCGCCACCGUGGCCACUGGUUCUGAUCUAUACACAAAUUAUAUAACUAUUGGUAGAUACAUAAUGUUACCUAACUUUGUCAACUGGAUAACACAACAACUUGGUAGUAAAGCGGACGUAACACCACUCAAACUUAUAAGUGUACCUGUGAGAGGAAUUUUCUGCCUUACACAUUAAUGACAUGCAUUAUUCAACAGUUCAUUAUCACUCAAGUGUCAUAGUACUUACAUUCUUUUGUACCUUAACAAGUAUUUAGAUUAAUCAAAUGCAGACUUAACUAUUCUUACCCCUUUUUUUUCGUUUUUCCUUUCCCGGUCCGAAGGAUCUAGCUGAGCAUAUUAUGUACCGUGGCAUCUGUUAUUUGUCAAUCUGUCCACCAAUAAUUUCUUCAAACAACUUCUUCAUAACGUCUGAUUGGAAUUUAACAAAAUUUGAUUGGAAGUAUCCCUAGGUGAUGAGGAUACAAAAGUGUCCAAAUGGAGGGGCUGACCCCACCCAUACAUCCCAACUUGCAAGGUCAUUACUUUGAAACUGUUGAGAUCCAAACCUUUAACCAUAAUACAAAUGCUGGGCAUAAAGAGACAAAAUACAGUAAAGGUAUUAGACUUGUCCCUGUGGUCUGGCCUCACCCUUAGAGAAUUAGUCCCUGGGUCAUCACAUGGAAACUUUUGAGAUCCCAACCCUAUCAUAAUAUCCCUAUCCCUAAGAUAUUACUUGCCAUCCAAUUUUCAUUUAGAAUCUUUUGCUAUGAUUGCUUAAAUGUCCAGGUGAGCGAUACAGGCCUCUUGGGCCUCUUGUUUAAGAUUGGACCUCUUUUGGAAAUAAGUUGGUCUUAAAGAAAUUAAGUUAGAUUUAUCUUUAAUUCCCCAAUCUGGCUUAAUAAAAUAUAACUGUCGUAACCCAACUUUUGUUCAGUAAGUUCUGACUGGCUGUGUGCUCGGUAUACUCUACACCAGACUGUAUGUUCAGUAGGGUAUACUCUACACCAGACUGUAUGUUCAACAAGAUUUCUUAAUCGGUAGAAGCUGAUAAAACCAUGAUUUGUUUUCCUCCAAAUGAUGUGAUUAAGAGAAUUACCUGGUACCUAAGCAUAUAUACAGAUAUUUUUAUUUACAGUGAAAUUAUAAGUUAACAGACAAUAUUAUCAACUUUGGUGAACACAUACCUCUAAAUGUAGGAAGCUCUCUCUCCAACUCUCUGGUAAUGGAGGUGCUUCAAUAUGAAACUGUCGACUUUCAUUUUAAUGAGGAGCAAUGGUAACAGGAGGAAUGUACACUAGUCAUAUUAAUGUAGCGGAACUGGACUGGGUCUAUCAUUGACGACCAGGUAGCUCAAUUGGUAGAGCGUUCGUCUAGAGUUCGGAGGGUCCCGGGUUCGAACCCCGGUCUGGCCGUUACAUUUUUCUCUUUCUCCUGUUAUAUUAAUAAUGUCGUUGUGAGUAGAACUCUUCUAGGGAGCAACAGACACUUGUUACCCAAUGGUCACCAAGCUGCAAGUAGAUGAAGGGUCCCUUUACCACUACCAAAAACUGUCAAUAUCCAUUGUAGCUUUAUUUCCAGCGCAACUAUAGCUUUGUUAAAUCAUUACUCAAUAGGAAACCAUACUGUGCAGGGCUUCUGUGAGAAGAAAACAAAAUAUUAGCAACAACAGUUAUAUCCAAAAGGAAAUUAAGGGGAGGUUACUGUAUCAAAAAUCCUUAAUUUUUUGCUGUGUAUGAUUGCAUUUUACUAACCAUGGUAUGUUUAUAUACAUAUAUAUCUACCAUUGUAUAUAUCAUAUAUUAAAUACAUCUGACCAAGAUAAUCUGGUCACAUGUAAAUCUCUAUAUAACUAUGUGUAAUCAUGACUAUAUAUUAUAGCCUGUACCUUUUACAUCCUCAAAGAGCCACAUUAAAAAGGUGGGCCAUUUGUAACUAAUGCUUUCAUACUGUCUAAAAAAUUAUACUCUUGAAUAUUCUGAUUGAAAAAAGAAGAUAUGUAUUUUUUAUUGUAAAUACAAACCAUUAUAUAAUAUGUCAUGUCUGAAAGCUGGGCAAGUGGACUGUAUGUAUAUAUAUAGAUAUAGGAUCUCUGUAUAAAACUUGUUAACAAUGUACUAACACUGAUGUUUCUCUGUGAAGUAGUGGAUGUUUCUCUGUGAGGUAGUGGAUGUUUCUCUGUGAGAUAGUGGAUGUUUCUCUGUGAGGUAGUGGAUCAUUUAAUAAUAUAUGUUUAUAGUUACAUGGUUUGAGAGAGCUGUGAUAUUUUGAAGAUAAUUUUUCAAUGCUACCUACAUAAUACAAACUGAGGUCAUACUUACUGUAACAACAUCUGAUACACCUAGAUACGAGGUCAUACUUACUGUAACAACAUCUGAUACACCUAGAUACAAGGUCAUACUUACUGUACCAGACUGACAUAACAACAUCUGAUACACAGAGAUACGAGGUCAUACUUACUGUACCAGGCUGACAUAACAACAUCUUAUACACCGAGAUACGAGGUCAUACUUACUGUACCAGGCUGACAUAACAACAUUUGAUACACCGAGAUACGAGAUCAUACUUACUGUAACAGCAUCUGAUACACCGAGAUACGAAGUCAUACUUACUGUACCAGGCUGACAUAACAACAUCUGAUACACCGAGAUAGGAGGUCAUACUUACUGUACCAGGCUGACAUAACAGCAUCUGAUACACCGCGAUACGAGGUCAUACUUACUGUACCAGGCUGACAUAACAACAUCUGAUACACCGAGAUACGAGGUCAUACUUACUGUACCAGACUGACAUAACAACAUCUGAUACACAGAAAUACGAGGUCAUACUUACUGUACCAGGCUGACAUAACAACAUCUGAUACACAGAGAUACGAGGUCAUACUCACUGUACCAGGCUGACAUAACAACAUCU